AGUGAACGCUGGCGGUAGGCCUAACACAUGCCAGUCGAACGGCAGCACAGGAGAGCUUGCUCUCUGGGUGGCGAGUGGCGGACGGGUGAGGAAUACAUCGGAAUCUGCCCAGUCGUGGGGGAUAACGUAGGGAAACUUACGCUAAUACCGCAUACGACCUUCGGGUGAAAGAGGGGGAUCGCAAGACCUCUCGCGAUUGGAUGAGCCGAUGUCGGAUUAGCUAGUUGGCGGGGUAAUGGCCCACCAAGGCGACGAUCCGUAGCUGGUCUGAGAGGAUGAUCAGCCACACUGGAACUGAGACACGGUCCAGACUCCUACGGGAGGCAGCAGUGGGGAAUAUUGGACAAUGGGCGCAAGCCUGAUCCAGCCAUACCGCGUGGGUGAAGAAGGCCUUCGGGUUGUAAAGCCCUUUUGUUGGGAAAGAAAUCGUUCAGGCUAAUACCCUGGGAGGAUGACGGUACCCAAAGAAUAAGCACCGGCUAACUUCGUG
rnacentral:rRNA from 1 species